rnacentral:rRNA from 1 species
GAUGAACGCUGGCGGCGUGCCUAAUACAUGCAAGUCGAGCGAACAGACGAGGAGCUUGCUCCUCUGACGUUAGCGGCGGACGGGUGAGUAACACGUGGAUAACCUACCUAUAAGACUGGGAUAACUUCGGGAAACCGGAUCUAAUACCGGAUAAUAUAUUGAACCGCAUGGUUCAAUAGUGAAAGACGGUUUUGCUGUCACUUAUAGAUGGAUCCUCGCCGCAUUAGCUAGUUGGUAAGGUAACGGCAUACCAAGGCGACGAUGCGUAGCCGACCUGAGAGGGUGAUCGGCCACACUGGAACUGAGACACGGUCCAGCCUCCUACGGGAGGCAGCAGUAGGGAAUCUUCCGAAAUGGGCGAAGGCCUGACGGAGCAACGCCGCGUGAGUGAUGAAGGUCUUCGGAUCGUAAAACUCUGUUAUUAGGGAAGAACAAAUGUGUAAGUAACUAUGCACGCCUUGACGGUACCUAAUCAGAAAGCCACGGCUAACUACGUG